rnacentral:lncRNA from 1 species
UUACCUACAUACCUGAGGUAAAUCCACAAGGCACCUUGAGUUCAAACUAUGAAGUGACUCCAAGCGAAAUAUAGCAGAAAUUGGGACUUAAACGAGCUUAGAAAUAAUCUGCUUAGUGCUGGAUGAGUGUUUUCACUUUAAAUGAACACCACCAUAUUUGAGUCAUGAAAAAGUGUUGAGUAAGCAUAAGCUUGUAGCAUAAAAGAUGUUUGUGAUAAGUCACUAGAUUGUAAAGUGUUAGUCUCUGCACAUUGAUUCUCUGAUUGUUUGAAUGAUGAAGUCUCUGCACAGUCUCUAAUUGACUGAAUAAGCUCUGCAGUGACAAUAAAUGAACACCACCAUAUUUGAGUCAUGAAAAAGUGUUGAGUAAGCAUAAGCUUGUAGCAUAAAAGUAAGCAUAAGCUUGUAGCAUAAAAGAUGUUUGUGAUAAGUCACUAGAUUGUAAAGUGUUAGUCUCUGCACAUUGAUUCUCUGAUUGUUUGAAUGAUGAAGUCUCUGCACAGUCUCUAAUUGACUGAAUAAGCUCUGCAGUGACAAUAAAUGAACACCACCAUAUUUGAGUCAUGAAAAAGUGUUGAAUAAGCAUAAGCUUGUAGCAUAAAAGAUGUUUGUGAUAAGUCACUAGAUUGUAAAGUGUUAGUCUCUGCACAUUGAUUCUCUGAUUGUUUGAAUGAUGAAGUCUCUGCACAGUCUCUAAUUGACUGAAUAAGCUCUGCAGUGACAAUAAUGAAUUUCAUGGGAAGAUUUUAUUUGUAAUAAAAGAAGGUAAUAUUUUGAGUUGAUUUUACCUAUUCUGUGAAGAUCAUAGCAUGUUUAACAGCAUUCCAAACAGGCAUGUCAAUUGUUGGAUGGAUCUUGGGAUGUCCUUGAAGUGUGUUUACCAUAUGUUGUUUUUUAUUCAAAGUUAUUGUAUUGUUCAUUAUUGUAAAAGCCAAGCAACUUUUGCAACAUUGAGGAUCAUACUUUAGCUUUGGAAACAAGACAUAUGUAGUUAUGCUGAUCUUCUUUUCCAGAGUCUUUGAUUAUCACUUAAUUUCAUUCACUUUUGAUGUAGUGAAAUUCAUAAUCAUUUUUUUGACAAGCUACAUUUGAAUGUAUUGUAUAUGUAUUGUUGCCCCUUUUUACCAUGCAUAUUUAAGCUUGUAGCAUAAAAGAUGUUUGUGAUAAGUCACUAGAUUGUAAAGUGUUAGUCUCUGCACAUUGAUUCUCUGAUUGUUUGAAUGAUGAAGUCUCUGCACAGUCUCUAAUUGACUGAAUAAGCUCUGCAGUGACAAUAAAUGAACACCACCAUAUUUGAGUCAUGAAAAAGUGUUGAGUAAGCAUAAGCUUGUAGCAUAAAAGAUGUUUGUGAUAAGUCACUAGAUUGUAAAGUGUUAGUCUCUGCACAUUGAUUCUCUGAUUGUUUGAAUGAUGAAGUCUCUGCACAGUCUCUAAUUGACUGAAUAAGCUCUGCAGUGACAAUAAAUGAACACCACCAUAUUUGAGUCAUGAAAAAGUGUUGAGUAAGCAUAAGCUUGUAGCAUAAAAGAUGUUUGUGAUAAGUCACUAGAUUGUAAAGUGUUAGUCUCUGCACAUUGAUUCUCUGAUUGUUUGAAUGAUGAAGUCUCUGCACAGUCUCUAAUUGACUGAAUAAGCUCUGCAGUGACAAUAAUGAAUUUCAUGGGAAGAUUUUAUUUGUAAUAAAAGAAGGAGACAAGAUUGAAGUGCAGCCAACACUGCAUGGUGCUUAUCACAAGAGCUGACCCAUUGCUGUUUUUCAACUCUUCUGGAAAAGAUCCCAAAAGAAGGUAACAGCUUGUUUCCUUCACCGCCACCAGUCUACCUGCUCUCUGCACACUCGGCAGAGCGCGGCAGGGCACCCCACGGAGCUGCACUAGUCACAUCCGGGCCCCACGCCGGUCGACGGCCGAUGCGAUGGAGGCACUACUCCGAGCUGGACUGGUGGCCGGCUCGGAGCUGGUGGAUGUCGACCGCGGAGCGGCGAUCUACUCCUUCCACCGGGCCCGGCAGCAGGAGCUCCAGAUGUCCUUGUACCACCCGUCCGGCCAGGCCUCCAUCCACCUUGUAGAGGCGGAGCGGGAGACGGUGAAGCUCACGGCUCCGUUGGAACAUGGCCGCUGGGAGGCCUGCGGCGCGGACGACGGAUGCGGCAGUUGGUCAAGACACGGCAGCCUACUCGAGGUGCUUCUCGCCUGGAGGACGCAGGCGAAUCGCGUUAUCCGAGCUGUGCCUCGUCAUGGUGCGAUGAGCCUUAAUAGACUAAUGCAUAUUCUUCCUUUGGCUGUAAUUCAUUUGCUGCUGCCCGCUGGGCUAAGGAGUAACUCUGGGCGCCUACUUUGAGCAGACGCUCGUCCAGUGCCGCUCUUCGUUUGCCGCACAUAUCUUUAUUUAUUCUUUGUUACAAUUCCGUCUUUGGUCAUUUUUUUUUUA